AAGAACAGAGAAAUGAUGCACUAUUCUGACACUUUUUUCUUAAAGGGGAAAAAAAGAAAGAACAGUAAUAAUAAAUAAUAAAUAAGGAGUUUUGUCCAUUGAACCAUAUAACCAGACGCUCAUUGUUUCAGAAAAGCAAGGGGUGGAAUCUGGUAUCAUUAUGUUACACUUUUUCCAUCGCGUGUUUGAUUGCUGUGUUGGGUUUGGUCUCUCACACUGCUUCCAGGUCCAAACCCCCCUAGCUAACUGUUUUUAUUUAAUACCUAAUUUUUUUGUUUCCCUGAAGGACCAUAUGGUGUUAAAAAAGGACCGUACAUUGGAUUUUGCUUUAUCCUAAUAGUGACAAGAUAAGAUAAGGUCAAAUAUAUAAGCAAGAUAUUUUGUCCAAUAUUUGAAUUAUAAUAAUAAUAUCAAUAUGCAUGCUGUUGGGAUAUUGAUUAGGUCAUGUGUUUUGGUCUUAAGCCAUGGCUAGCAACUUCUGAUUUGAGUACCAACAUGUUAAAUAAUUGCCCACUGAAUCUUCUUGUAUCUUGGAUAUGCACAUGCUGGUAUAAUAAGGGGAGAGAAAGGUUUCCGUCGCCACCUAAGUAACCACUGAGAAGGCAUUAUUGCUGGGAAAUGAAUUGGCUUUGUAAGUGUAGCUUUAACAACUAUAAUAAAGAUACAUAACACAGACUUUUGGCAGGUCCCAGAACAGUGACUGGGUUGCCAUUGUACUAUUCAUUUGUCCCCAGUUAACGAGGAUGUUUACCUGUUUUUCACCAAGCAUGCGUCCUGCCCCAGAUUUCUAAUCUUGCUGAGGUAAAUAUUGUAUGUUGUAACUGAAAGAAUCUUGCUACCAAGUACGCAUGAGGAGUACAGAGAUGUCUCCAUUUCUUUUACCAAAAAACAAACAUCUCCAUGAUCCACUUUGUGGUGGACACUAUGUAGAGUAUAAAUAUUGAUUAACCAAAAAUUUUGAUUAAAAAGGGUGUGCACUUAACUUGAAA